rnacentral:rRNA from 1 species
CCUACGGGCGGCAGCAGUGGGGAAUAUUGGACAAUGGGCGAAAGCCUGAUCCAGCCAUGCCGCGUGUGUGAAGAAGGCCUUCGGGUUGUAAAGCACUUUCAGUGGGGAAGAAAGCCUUGGGGCUAAUACCCUCGAGGAAGGACAUCACCCACAGAAGAAGCACCGGCUAACUCCGUGCCAGCAGCCGCGGUAAUACGGAGGGUGCGAGCGUUAAUCGGAAUUACUGGGCGUAAAGCGCGCGUAGGCGGUCUGAUAAGCCGGUUGUGAAAGCCCCGGGCUCAACCUGGGAACGGCAUCCGGAGCUGUCAGGCUAGAGUGCAGGAGAGGAAGGUAGAAUUCCCGGUGUAGCGGUGAAAUGCGUAGAGAUCGGGAGGAAUACCAGUGGCGAAGGCGGCCUUCUGGACUGACACUGACGCUGAGGUGCGAAAGCGUGGGUAGCAAACAGGAUUAGAUACCCUAGUAUC